rnacentral:rRNA from 1 species
UAGGGAAUCUUCCACAAUGGACGAAAGUCUGAUGGAGCAACGCCGCGUGAGUGAAGAAGGUUCUCGGAUCGUAAAACUCUGUUGUGAGGGAAGAACAAGUACCGGAGUAACUGCCGGUACCUUGACGGUACCUCAUUAGAAAGCCACGGCUAACUACGUGCCAGCAGCCGCGGUAAUACGCAGGUGGCAAGCGUUGUCCGGAAUCAUUGGGCGUAAAGCGCGCGCAGGCGGUCCCUUAAGUCUGAUGUGAAAGCCCACGGCUCAACCGUGGAGGGUCAUUGGAAACUGGGGGACUUGAGUGCAAAAGGGGAAAGCGGAAUUCCAAGUGUAGCGGUGAAAAUGCGUAGAGAUUUGGAGGAACACCAGUGGCGAAGGCGGCUUUCUGGUCUGUAACUGACGCUGAGGCGCGAAAAGCGUGGGGAGCAAACAGGAUUAGAUACCCUGGUAGUCCACGCCGUAAACGAUGAGUGCUAAGUGUUAGGGGGGUUUCCGCCCCUUAGUGCUGCAGCUAACGCAUUAAGCACUCCGCCUGGGGAGUACGGUCGCAAGACUGAAACUCAAAGGAAUUGACGGGGUCAUAGCUGUUUCCU